rnacentral:lncRNA from 14 species
AGGUAACAUCGUGGUCCUGCUCUGUUCGUCUUCCAACAAUUAAACUGAGUUUCUGGGAAUCACGGGACCUCUGAGAAUCCGUAAGGACAAAAACCGACAAGAUUUUUCCCCCACUGCAAUCUAAG